GGUUUACAGGCUGAGGAGAGAUUUCACAAGUGGGAAGAGCCAAAACCAAAUAUCUUGGCAGAUGGGUUUGAAAGAUGUGGUGCUGAGGAGCCUGGUUUGGUGGUGUUUUGUUGCUGGUUGUACUUGAUGGUGUCUUCCAACCAAGAUGAUUCAGCAGAGAAACUCAUUCCAAGAGGAGUCAUCUCUGCUCAGCCUAUGGAUGAAGCAGAACUUCUCAGACUGAGACCUGAACUGACUCCCAGGACCAAACAGAACCAUGGCCUUGACUCCUGCUAAAAGCUGAGUGCCUCCACCCAGUGACAGAGCAGGUGCAGAUUCAAAAGGUGUCUCCUUCCACUAAUGAGUCUGGGAUAAAGACUUCAUCACUCUGCUAUCACCUUGGAUCUUGGCUUGGGAGUGGUGAGAUCUUUGAAAGGACCUACAGUGACUGAGGUGUGGUGUCAGACAGCAGACACGUCUGGGAGCAGUGGGACAGCAGGAAGCACUGCUUAAUGGGAAGUGCAUCUACUCAGGAGAUCAAGGUGAGACCUCAGACAUGUUUCCUUUUUCUUCCAGAAGAACAACCUAUGGCAUAUCUUGAGGGGAGUUUUGUUCUCCAGAGAUCCAAACUUCUACUUGUGCACAGGAUGCU